rnacentral:rRNA from 1 species
AUUGAACGCUGGCGGCAGGCCUAACACAUGCAAGUCGAGCGGCAGCGGGAAAGUAGCUUGCUACUUUUGCCGGCGAGCGGCGGACGGGUGAGUAAUGCCUGGGGAUCUGCCCAGUCGAGGGGGAUAACUACUGGAAACGGUAGCUAAUACCGCAUACGCCCUACGGGGGAAAGCAGGGGACCUUCGGGCCUUGCGCGAUUGGAUGAACCCAGGUGGGAUUAGCUAGUUGGUGAGGUAAUGGCUCACCAAGGCGACGAUCCCUAGCUGGUCUGGGAGAGUGAUCAGCGGCACUGGAACUGAGACACGGUCCAGGAUCAUACGGGAGGCAGUAGUGGGGAAUAUUGUAAAAUGGGGGAAACCAUGAUGCAGCCAUGCCGCGUGUGUGAAGAAGGCCUUCGGGUUGUAAAGCACUUUCAGCGAGGAGGAAAGGUUGGUAGCUAAUAACUGCCAGCUGUGACGUUACUCGCAGAAGAAGCACCGGCUAACUCCGUGCCAGCCGCCGCAGUAA